GAUAGGCCGGGUGUGUAAGCGCAGCGAUGCGUUGAGCUAACCGGUACUAAUGAACCGUCAGGCUUAACCUUACAACGCCGAAG
rnacentral:rRNA from 1 species